GGCGGAAUGCUUUACACAUGCAAGUCGAGCGGCAGCGCGGGGCAACCUGGCGGCGAGCGGCGAACGGGUGAGUAACAUAUCGGAACGUAUCCAUAAGUGGGGGACAACCUAGCGAAAGUUAGGCUAAUACCGCAUACGCUCGAGAGAGGAAAGUGGGGGAUCGCAAGACCUCACGCUUUAGGAGCGGCCGAUAUCAGAUUAGCUAGAUGGUGAGGUAAAGGCUUACCAUGGCGACGAUCUGUAGCUGGUCUGAGAGGAUGAUCAGCCACACUGGGACUGAGACACGGCCCAGACUCCUACGGGAGGCAGCAGUGGGGAAUUUUGGACAAUGGGGGCAACCCUGAUCCAGCCAUUCCGCGUGAGUGAAGAAGGCCUUCGGGUUGUAAAGCUCUUUUGUUCGGGACGAAACGGUUAAGGCUAAUAACCUUGACUACUGACGGUACCGGAAGAAUAAGCACCGGCUAACUACGUGCCAGCAGCCGCGGUAAUACGUAGGGUGCGAGCGUUAAUCGGAAUUACUGGGCGUAAAGCGUGCGCA
rnacentral:rRNA from 1 species